rnacentral:rRNA from 1 species
GACGAACCGUACGAACGUUAUUCGGAAUCACUGGGCUUAAAGGGCGCGUAGGCGGCCUGUUAAGCCGAACGUGAAAUCCCCGGGCUCAACCCGGGAACUGCGUCCGAUACUGGCAGGCUUGAAUCCGGGAGAGGGAUGCGGAAUUCCAGGUGUAGCGGUGAAAUGCGUAGAUAUCUGGAGGAACACCGGUGGCGAAGGCGGCAUCCUGGACCGGCAUUGACGCUGAGGCGCGAAAGCCAGGGGAGCAAACGGG